AGUCUGGCGGGAGCCGUCCCUGGAUGGGGGUCACUAGCCUCCCCAUUGUGACUCGUUUGAGCUCUUAGCCAGGCGUGUAGUCUGGCGGGAGCCGUCGCGGCUGGCUCGGCAGCUCCAGGCUAUUCCGAGGAACAGUCUUCAGAGAGCCUGGGGUGCUGAUGGGGAAAAGCUGUUGCUGAGAUUUGACAAGUUUGGUCCUGAGAUGUCAGAAAGGAUUUCAGCUCUUCUGCCACCCCAAGGACGGUGGCGCGUAAAUCACAAGGACAAUGAAUCCAGGCAGUGAUCCACCAAUGAUAACUAACAUCAUAAAAAGAUACAUGGCCGGAUAUGAUGUUCCUUCUGACGGAAGACCACAACACCUGCUGAAAAAUCAAAUCUGAAUCGGAUCAAGCCUCUAGAGGAGGCAGCACCCAGGGUCAUUCCUGGAGCAUAAACGAUCCCUGCAGAACAUGGGCUAGAAGACCCCACAGUGGGGCAGAGGCAGGUCCUGGACUGGGAUCCCAGCAGUGAGAAGACCUGGACAUCAACCCUAUUUCAUUGUGCCUCUGCAAAUCUCCCAACUUUUGGAGCUGUAGCUGCAAGCUCAGACUUGUGGUUUCCUGUACCUGGAGGAGGCCCAGGUCAUUCUGUUAAGUCCCUUGUCUAUUUCCUGCUUUUAUCUGGAUGCUGAGUUAAUUAUUUGAUCCAACAAUAAAACUAACAAGGUUUUA
rnacentral:lncRNA from 1 species